rnacentral:rRNA from 1 species
AGCUCGUGUCGUGAGAUGUUGGUUAAGUCCGCAACGAGCGCAACCCCUAUUGUUAGUUGCCAUCAUUCAGUUGGGCACUCUAGCGAGACUGCCGGUAAUAAACCGGAGGAAGGUGGGGAUGACGUCAAGUCAGCACGGCCCUUACAUCCUGGGCUGCACACACGCUACAAUGGGUGAUACAACAGGUUGCAAUAGAGCGAUCUGGAGCCAAUCCCUAAAAUCAUCCUCAGUACGGAUUGCAGGCUGCAACUGCCUGCAUGAAGUUGGAGUUGCUAGUAAACGCAGGUCAGCACACUGCGUUGAAUACGUUCUCGGGCCUU